CCUACGGGAGGCAGCAGUAGGGAAUUUUCCACAAUGGACGAAAGUCUGAUGGAGCAACGCCGCGUGUGUGAUGAAGGGUUUCGGCUCGUAAAACACUGUUGUAAGAGAAGAAUGACAUUGAGAGUAACUGUUCAGUGUGUGACGGUAUCUUACCAGAAAGGAAAGGCUAAAUACGUGCCAGCAGCCGCGGUAAUACGUAUGUUCCAAGCGGUAUCCGGAUUUAUUGGGCGUAAAGCGAGCGCAGACGGUUGUGUAAGACAGAAGUGAAAGCCCACGGCGUAACUGUGGAAGUGCUUUGGAAACUGGAUAAGCUGAGGGCAGUAGAGGAGAGUGGAACCCCAUGAGUAGCGGUGAAAUGCGUAGAUAUAUGGAAGAACACCAGUGGCGAAGGCGGCUCUCUGGACUGUAACUGACGUUGAGUCUCGAAAGUGUGGGUAGCAAACAGGAUUAGAUACCCCGGUAGUC
rnacentral:rRNA from 1 species